rnacentral:rRNA from 1 species
AAAGAAUUACAAUUUGUCAAUGCCCAAUUUGGUCUGAUCUCUGAAGCUGAGCAGAGUGGGGCCUGGUUAGUGCUUGGGUGGGAGACCGCUGGAAAUACCCGGAACUGUA